rnacentral:tRNA from 1 species
UCCCUCUAUCCCCAGC